UAAGUAAGUGGUGGAAGAAAAAAUAAACAUGAUUCUUUUAGUAAUGGCGAAUGAACAAAGACAUGGUCAUUUUGAAAAUUGUGGUCUUAGAUCAUGAAUUGUAUUUUCAAAAUGCAUUGCUAACACAACUGCACAUGUUUGUUUAUUGGAAAGAACAUCACAAAGGGUGACAAUCCCAUGUGUCAUGUGUAUGUUUUGUGUACAGCGUGCAUUAUAUGAAUCACAUUCAUUGACAAUUGAAUGCAAAUAGAAUGGUAAAUUUCAUUUAAUCAUAAAUAUGUUGUUGACAACUUAUAGCAAACAAAUACCAUGAGGGAAAUGUGAAAAGGAUUUUGAAAAGAAAAUUAAAAGAGCUUGCAAUUGCUGAACUGAUAAGCAAACAAAACAUACGUGUGUAUGCAAGAUUGUUGUAAUGCUUAGCAUCUUAUGCAAGGCUAUUGCAAUGAUUUUUUGUAUAGUGAUGCUACCUUUCUUUAGAAUUUGGAAUGUCUUUUUUUGAGUGUGAAUGGAAUUUUGUUUGUUAGCAAAGGAAUGCACUUUUAGAUUCAUUGUUUGAUUUGAUUUAAAAAUGUUUGUGACACAUGUCUUUGUUUUAGUUUCAUGCUUCAACCAAGGACAUUGUGUUUGAUCCAUGUCAGCAAUACAUGUUUUGUUUGACCCGUCUUGAAACACGGACCAAGGAGUUUAAUUUAUGUGCAAGAUCAUGAAACUGACAUUUGUAUAUCAAUGAAAAUAUUUUGUUGGGAUUUGUGCACCAACAACUGAUAAGUUGUGUGACGCGACGUUGAGUUUGAGCAUGUUGAUUAAAACCCGAAAGAUGGUGAACUAUGCCUGAACAGAAUGAAGUCAG
rnacentral:rRNA from 1 species